UUUCUUCCCUCCCGAGCGCAGGAAAUGGCUCCUGGUAAAUGCGUCCACUCUGCAGUGUUCCUUUCUUCUAAAAUGGGGCUUGACAGAUUGGACUUUUCAGCUCCCCCACUGUUUCACCACCUCUGCUCUCCACCUCAGAAAUACCCUCCAGGAAGCAGGAGUUAAUCUCGACAUACCUUUUCCUGAGAUUCUUCAGUGUCCCUUUGGAAAGGCACAUCCUUUUCCUUUGUUCAUGUUCUUCACAUCCCAUCACUGGACUUUCAACUCUCCAAGUUCUCCCCAUUCCUUUUAUGUUGAUGAGUCCCAAGUGGGACCAAUAUAGCACUCCAGUAUCUAAAGCUAGAUCUGACUUGUAUUCUGGGAAGAAUAAUGAAAUGAAUUUUGGCUCAAGAGAAAAGGACUUGCUUUGUUUUAUCCAGUGCUGCACACUCAGUGCCCAGCAAAGAGCUUUGGAAGUAAACGGAGAUAAGAUUUGCUCCCUUUCUACCUCACCAGGAUCUGUGAAGAUUAGAUAAUGGUUGUAAAGUCCUUGUACAAAGGUUUUGAAUUUGUGUGGAAUUCCCGUCUUAACUUCGACCUGGAGAACAGUGAAUUUAGGAAGCCUGUUGAUCUGAAUGUCUUGAUCACUGCAUUCUGGCUCCCUGGCUCCUGUCUUUUCUUUUUUUUCUAAGUUGAGGGUAGGCUUAACUUCCAGAAGUCAAAAGUUGAAAAAGAUGGCAACAAGGUGAUUGUGCUUGGAGUGGAUAUGGAGACAGGAUGCUGUGUGUUGGCCUUCUGACAACAUACCUGGUCAUAUUUAUAAACUGAGACAAGUACACAUGAAUUGUUGUGUAUAGAGAAGGUUACCCAACAUCUUGGAGUCAACGACUGGAACAUGGGAGAGUGGAAGAGAAAGGGAAAAACAGAGAGAAACAU